rnacentral:rRNA from 1 species
CCUACGGGUGGCAGCAGUGAGGAAUAUUGGUCAAUGGGCGGAAGCCUGAACCAGCCAAGUAGCGUGCGGGAUGAAGGCCCUCCGGGUCGUAACCCGCUUUUGCACGGGGAUAACACCCUCCACUUGUGGAGGUCUGCAGGUACCGUGCGAAUAAGGAUCGGCUAACUCCGUGCCAGCAGCCGCGGUAAUACGGAGGAUCCGAGCGUUAUCCGGAUUUAUUGGGUUUAAAGGGAGCGUAGGUGGAUUGUUAAGUCAGUUGUGUAAGUUUGCGGCUCAACCGUAAAAUUGCAGUUGAAACUGGCAGUCUUGAGUACAGUAGAGGUUGGCGGAAUUCGUGGUGUAGCGGUGAAAUGCUUAGAUAUCACGAAGAACUCCGAUUGCGAAGGCAGUUCACUGGACUGCAACUGACACUGAGGCUCGAAAGUGUGGGUAUCAAACAGGAUUAGAUACCCCUGUAGUC